rnacentral:lncRNA from 1 species
AGGUUAUUGGCUUCUUCAAGAAUUAAGAAAGAAAGAUAAAAAAAAAGAGUUCAAGAGUUGAUCUCUAUCCAGACUUGGUUCAAGCCUAUUCAGGCUUUGAGUUUAAGUGAGUUGUAUCAAGAGAAACUUAUCUAAAUUAGUCUUAUAGAUAUCCAUAAAGGUAGGAUACUUGUGCUGCUAAUUCAGAACUUGCUCAACCCC